AUUGAACGCUGGCGGCAGGCUUAACACAUGCAAGUCGAGCGGGGACUUCGGUCCUAGCGGCGAACGGGUGAGGAAUGCUUGGGAAUCUGCCUUGUAGUGGGGGAUAACGUUUCGAAAGGAACGCUAAUACCGCAUACGCCCUACGGGGGAAAGGGGGGGAGCUUCGGACCUCUCGCUAGAAGAUGAGCCCAAGUCGGAUCAGCUAGUUGGUGGGGUAAAGGCUCACCAAGGCGACGAUCCGUAGCUGGUCUGAGAGGAUGAUCAGCCACACUGGAACUGAGACACGGUCCAGACUCCUACGGGAGGCAGCAGUGGGGAAUAUUGGACAAUGGGCGAAAGCCUGAUCCAGCCAUGCCGCGUGUGUGAAGAAGGCCUUCGGGUUGUAAAGCACUUUAAGCGAGGAGGAAUGGCUCUGGGUUAAUACCCUUGAGCAGUGACGUUACCCGCAGAAUAAGCACCGGCUAACUCUGUGCCAGCCGCCGCAGUAAUAC
rnacentral:rRNA from 1 species